GUAAUUAUAGUUUAUAAAAACAUUAGAUUGUGAAUCUAAAAAUAAAGAUUAAAUUCUUUUAGUUACC
rnacentral:tRNA from 1 species